GAAUUUUCAUUCUUUCAAAAUUUUGAGCAUCGAGAGAGACUAAUAUACUCUGAGUUAUAAAAUGUCAGCAAAGUUUGACGGUUCUCGGGGACCACCUCAAAUUGAGGGCAUGGUUAGCUUAAAAGUUGAUAACCUAACUUACAGAACAUCUAUGGAAGAUUUGGAAAGAUACUUCAAAAAGUAUGGCGAGCUUGGUGAUAUUUACAUCCCACGUGAUAGAAAUACUCAUGAAUCAAGAGGAUUUGCUUUUGUCAGGUACUAUGAAGAAAGGGAUGCUGAAGAUGCAAUGGACUCGAUGGAUGGAAAGGUGAUUGAUGGUCGUGAAAUUCGUGUUGCAAUGGCUAGGUAUGGUCGUCCUAGUAAUCAAUAUGAUCCUGGCAGAAGAUCCAGGGGUGGCGACAGAGGAUAUGAUCGUCGCAGUAGCGGAUAUAAUCGAAGGCGCUCACCACCUAAACGACGUCGGUCUCGUUCACGAUCCAAAUCUUAUGAACGAAGGCGCUCACGAUCUCGUUCUCACAAUCGUAGAAAAUCUGUCUCAAAGUCUCCUAGAAAGCGAUCUGAAUCCCCUCAACGCCGUCGAUCACAUAGUCGUAGUCCUGUUCCGAGACAAUCAAAUAGUCGUUCAAGAUCUGGGUCCCGUGAUGUUUGAGUUAACUUAUGCAAAUAUGGAUGCUCUUUGUAUUGAUACAGUUUUGCCUUCAAUAGUUAACUAAAGUGCAGACUGUUUAGCGGUCUCAUUGCAGUUAGCUGUUAUCAUCUGCUAAAUUUUGAUAUACAGGAUUGUACCAUAUCUAUUGACAUGUAAUGAGGGUUAAUAUGUUCCUGUGCAGUUAAAAAAGAUUCGAUCGUUGCAUAAACAAUAAAAUAAUAAUUUUGAAAUUUAAGCUGCAAUGUUGCUGCCAUUGUCUUUUAAAGCCAUUUUCAAGUUAUAUGUCAGGAUGUUGCUUAUUACUGUGAGUUUCAGUUACUGUCAAUCACUAUUUAUAAUAUCCCGAAAUGAACAUUCUAAAUUCUAUAUUAGAAGAUUUUAGCCUUUCUGUCAUGAAUAAAUGUAAAGUCUCGGUUUAAGAAGAGAUUUAAGAUUAUAAA
rnacentral:misc_RNA from 1 species